rnacentral:lncRNA from 1 species
UGGUUCUGGAAUGAACUAAAACAGGGUUCAUCAACGAGAUUUCAGUAAAGGAAGCAGCUUUGGCCAAGGAAGCUCCUGAGGAAGGAGUGAAGAGCGACCUGGCGUCGAUUCCGAUCAAACCCUUGACGGUGAGCUCGUUUGGUUGAGAGGUGGAAGCGAGAGAGAGGCCGAGGAAGUCGAUGCAGUUGUCGCUGAGGCCGAGAAUCAAACCCUUGACGGUGAGCUCGUUUGGUUGAGAGGUGGAAGCGAGAGAGAGGCCGAGGAAGUCGAUGCAGUUGUCGCUGACGCCGAGGAUCCUGAAGCUAGGCUCUUGGACGGCGAUGAGGCAGCCGAAGGGCUGGACGAGGCCGCCUCUUUGGAUGUUGGAGAGGUAGGCGGUGAUGCGCUC